AAAUUGAAGAGUUUGAUCAUGGCUCAGAUUGAACGCUGGCGGCAGGCCUAACACAUGCAAGUCGAACGGUAACAGGAAACAGCUUGCUGUUUCGCUGACGAGUGGCGGACGGGUGAGUAAUGUCUGGGAAACUGCCUGAUGGAGGGGGAUAACUACUGGAAACGGUAGCUAAUACCGCAUAACGUCGCAAGACCAAAGAGGGGGACCUUCUGGCCUCUUGCCAUCGGAUGUGCCCAGAUGGGAUUAGCUUGUUGGUGGGGUAACGGCUCACC
rnacentral:rRNA from 1 species